AAACGAUGAUUUACUUAGAUGACGAGUCGGAGACGUGAUUCACGGUGACGAUACAUCUUUAAAAAUUCCAUUCAUGCCUUUCUGAUU
rnacentral:snoRNA from 1 species